ACCGGAAAAAGAGGAGUGGCGAACGGGUGAGUAACACGUGGGUAACCUGCCCAUCAGAAGGGGAUAACACUUGGAAACAGGUGCUAAUACCGUAUAACAAUCGAAACCGCAUGGUUUUGAUUUGAAAGGCGCUUUCGGGUGUCGCUGAUGGAUGGACCCGCGGUGCAUUAGCUAGUUGGUGAGGUAACGGCUCACCAAGGCCACGAUGCAUAGCCGACCUGAGAGGGUGAUCGGCCACAUUGGGACUGAGACACGGCCCAAACUCCUACGGGAGGCAGCAGUAGGGAAUCUUCGGCAAUGGACGAAAGUCUGACCGAGCAACGCCGCGUGAGUGAAGAAGGUUUUCGGAUCGUAAAACUCUGUUGUUAGAGAAGAAUAAGGAUGAGAGUAACUGUUCAUCCCUUGACGGUAUCUAACCAGAAAGCCACGGCUAACUACGUGCCAGCAGCCGCGGUAAUACGUAGGUGGCAAGCGUUGUCCGGAUUUAUUGGGCGUAAAGCGAGCGCAGGCGGUUUCUUAAGUCUGAUGUGAAAGCCCCCCGGCUCAACCGGGGAGGGUCAUUGGAAACUGGGAGACUUGAGUGCAGAAGAGGAGAGUGGAAUUCCAUGUGUAGCGGUGAAAUGCGUAGAUAUAUGGAGGAACACCAGUGGCGAAGGCGGCUCUCUGGUCUGUAACUGACGCUGAGGCUCGAAAGCGUGGGGAGCAAACAGGAUUAGAUA
rnacentral:rRNA from 1 species